GUUGCGCUCUUUCACUGAGUUGUGCAAGCAGAGCAGAAACUGGCUACUCUUUAGUUGACUGAUGUAGCUGGCAAGCAGGAUCAGAUGGGGACAGGGGUCCCAGCAGAGUCAGACAGUCAGGGAAGACCAGUCUACGGACCUCAGGAGGAUCAGAUGAUGACAGCGGUCUCAGCACUGUCAGGCAGCCAGGGAAGACCUGUGAAGGAGCUGAGGGACUCCUGAGAAAACCAGCAAACCAGGCUGUCAUCUUGUGAAACAGUGGAUGUAAAGAAUCCAGCUAGCUAAAGCAUUUACUGCAAAUUGAAUGUACAAUUUUGUAAGCUUGCCUUGCUGAUAUUUCCAAUGCAAUGCAGCGGAAGUAACGUAGCUAGCUAGCUAAUUAUUUUCUUGCUUAUUGUGUAGUGCAGGAUAAAAAUACCUGUAUACCUAUGGAUGUGUAGCUAGCUAUGUAGCCGAUCUGUGAAUGGACCCUAAAACGUUUGGUAUAAGUAUUAGUUCAGAACCUAGCUAUGAACCUCAGCUAUCAUAGUCUGUUGUAUCGACUUCAAAACAGUCUGAAUGACAUUAAUGAAGCCUAUGGAUUGAGUAGAAUAUAAUAUAACUUUAUUGUGCCAAGGAUGCAAGUCAUAUAUACAUGUAGUUAUUACCAAGCAUGAGAUCCCCACAUUCCAGCCUGUACAUUGAAUAUAUUCACUAAUCAUGUACUCUACCUUGGCAAAUAAAUGU